AUGAACGCUGGCGGCGUGCCUCAUACAUGCCAGUCGAGCGAACGGACGAGAAGCUUGCUUCUCUGAUGUUAGCGGCGGACGGGUGAGUAACACGUGGAUAACCUACCUAUAAGACUGGGAUAACUUCGGGAAACCGGAGCUAAUACCGGAUAAUAUUUUGAACCGCAUGGUUCAAAAGUGAAAGACGGUCUUGCUGUCACUUAUAGAUGGAUCCGCGCUGCAUUAGCUAGUUGGUAAGGUAACGGCUUACCAAGGCAACGAUGCAUAGCCGACCUGAGAGGGUGAUCGGCCACACUGGAACUGAGACACGGUCCAGACUCCUACGGGAGGCAGCAGUAGGGAAUAUUCCGCAAUGGGCGAAAGCCUGACGGAGCAACGCCGAGUGAGUGAUGAAGGUCUUCGGAUCGUAAAACUCUGUUAUUAGGGAAGAACAUAUGUGUAAGUAACUGUGCACAUCUUGACGGUACCUAAUCAGAAAGCCACGGCUAACUACG
rnacentral:rRNA from 1 species